rnacentral:tRNA from 1 species
GCGCCCGUAGUUCAACUGGAUAGAGCGACGGCCUCCGAAGCCGUAGGUUGUGGGUUCGAACCCCGCCGGGCGCA